rnacentral:rRNA from 1 species
GAUGAACGCUGGCGGCGUGCCUAAUACAUGCAAGUCGAGCGAACGGACGAGAAGCUUGCUUCUCUGAUGUUAGCGGCGGACGGGUGAGUAACACGUGGAUAACCUACCUAUAAGGCUGGGAUAACUUCGGGAAACCGGAGCUAAUACCGGAUGAUAUUUUGAACCGCAUGGUUCAAAAGUGAAAGACGGUCUUGCUGUCACUUAUAGAUGGAUCCGCGCUGCAUUAGCUAGUUGGUAAGGUAACGGCUUACCAAGGCAACGAUGCAUAGCCGACCUGAGAGGGUGAUCGGCCACACUGGAACUGAGACACGGUCCAGACUCCUACGGGAGGCAGCAGUAGGGAAUCUUCCGCAAUGGGCGAAAGCCUGACGGAGCAACGCCGCGUGAGUGAUGAAGGUCUUCGGAUCGUAAAACUCUGUUAUUAGGGAAGAACAUAUGUGUAAGUAACUGUGCACAUCUUGACGGUACCUAAUCAGAAAGCCGCGGCUAACUACGUG